rnacentral:misc_RNA from 1 species
CUGCAAAAGUUAAUUCAAGUAUUUUUGUCAACAGAUGGCAGGCUAUGUUUUCUUCAUACUGAUGAAUGUUGUAAUGCAAAUGAAGUUGAGUGCCGGAUGUGAUAAUAGUGGAAAUAGCGUUGUAUACACACGAUGGGGAAAGAAAAGCUGCAACUCUAGACAUGAACUUGUUCAUUCAGGUUAUGUCGGAGGAUCGGAUUACAAAAAUCCGGGAGCUGCAGUAGAACCCCUUUGCCUACCCAAAAAUCCGCAAUGGGAGAUCUGUUGUGCAGAUGUUUCCAGGAAGAAGAACUUGUUACAAUGGAUGGAAGCUGGAGUAUAGUGGUUACCUUAUGGCUGGUAGACCGAUUCAUAAAGCUGCGUCAACAUAUACGUGUGUUGACAGGAAGCCGGACCUCGCUGAUGGGGGGAAGGCCAAUCAGAAUGGAUACCUUUUCUAUCAGGUUGAGGCUAUCUGUGGUUCUUUGAAGUGUCCGCCUUAUGUUCAGGGCAGAGAACUUGUCUGUGCCGUGUGUUCUAAGUAAAGCGAACAGUGAUGUCUUAUUUGGCAGUUAUAAUUAAAACUAUUAAUAAACAAAUAUCACCUUCUCAUUGUCUGU